UUUCUGUAGGCGCUGUUGCACCGCGCGCAUGCCCACUAACACUUUUGAAGCUACGCUCCGCCAGCAGUUAUCAUGGCGUAUAACGGCGUACCUUUAUUCUGUGGUUCAUUCAACUUCAGAAACUUCGUCGGGAGGACGGCAUGGCCGCAACCGUACGGAUUAUGAUAUCGGAGGCCGCCAUCGUCAAAAGGCUUUUAUUCCGUACAGCCAAGGACAAAUGGAAUGUCACAGAUGAAAAGUCUUGGGUCCUACAUUGGCAGUUAUGUGCUGCAGGGAGACGAAGUCCCGUGGGACAUGACCAACUCAGCGUUCCACUGGAGGUUAUGUGAUCAAACAGCAAACUGUUUAUCAUGAAUGCAGGAUGUGGGCAAACUCACGACUACUCCCACCGCCAGAAGGUUUGCUGAGGGCCAUUGCUUCCUGGCGCCGAGCUCCUUGAAGUUAUCUACUGGGACAUCUAGAGAAUGCAGUCUUGCAAGCCUACUCUGGACCAAGCAGCUGACCUCUUCUUCCACCCCAUUUCUCGCUAUCUCUUUUGCCUAAUAAAUACGGAGGGCUAUGUAAAGCUCAGGGCCCUUGUCCACUAGAGGCAAGGUGCCCCCUGACGCCUUCUUCCGAAUAUA